GAUGAACGCUGGCGGCGUGCUUAACACAUGCAAGUCGAACGAAGCACUUUAUUUUAUUUCCUUCGGGACUGAUUAUUUUGUGACUGAGUGGCGGACGGGUGAGUAACGCGUGGGUAACCUGCCUUGUACAGGGGGAUAACAGCUGGAAACGGCUGCUAAUACCGCAUAAGCGCACUGCCUCUCAUGAUGCAGUGUGAAAAGCUCCGGUGGCAUAAGAUGGACCCGCGUUGGAUUAGCUAGUUGUUGAGGUAACGGCCCCCCACUGCGACGAUCCAUGGCCGACCGGGAGGGGGAACCGGCCAAAUGGGAACUGGACAACGGCCAGAACUCCAACGGGAGGAGGCGGUAGGGAAUAUUGGAAAAUGGGGGAAGGCCGAAUGAAGAGACGCCGGGGGAGCAAAAAGGUAUUUGGGUAUGAAAAGCUCUAUCAGCGGGGAAGAUACUGACGGUACCUGACUAAGAAGCACCGGCUAAAUACGUG
rnacentral:rRNA from 1 species